ACUAAACCGUAGAAAAGGAUAAGUACACAUUGCAAGCUCUUCAGAGAGGAUCAUCAUCGGCUGUAAAUGAUCUGUGCCUCUGUAAUGUGGAAAUGCCCCUUUGAGUGCCGUGCCGAAAGUGUAAGUAGGCCGGACGCACCGCCAGCGUUAUAGGCGUCAAGCGGGAAGGCCAACACCUUCCAAGCGGAGUGGAACCGCGCAUUCAAUGCGUCUCUGUC
rnacentral:ncRNA from 1 species